CCUGUUGCAAAUGCAUGGGUGGCUGGGCACCGUCUCUGCUGUUAUGUACGCAGGUGGGAAAUCGGGCACUGUCUCCACCGCUGUGCAUUGGUGCAGGAGGUCGGACGCCAUCUCCGCCGUUGUGUACCUGUGCAGGUCGGGCACCGUCUCCACCAUGGUGUACCCGUGCAGGAGGUUGGGCACUAUCUCUACCAUUGCGUACCUGUGCGGGAGAUCAGGCAGCGUCUCCACUGUUGUGCAUUGAUGUAGGAGGUCAGGCACCAUCUCCACCAUUGUGUACCCAUGCAGGAGGUUGGGCACUGUCUCCACCACUGUGCGUUGGUGCAGGAGGUCAGGCACCGUCUCCACCGUUGUGUACCUGUGCGGGAGGUCAGGCACUGUCUCUACCAUUGUGCGUUGGUGCAGGAGGUCAGGCACUGUCUCCACCGUUGUGUACCCAUGUGGGAGGUCGGGCACCGUCUCCACCGUUGUGUAUUGGUGCAGGAGGUCAGGCACCGUCUCCACCAUUGUGUACCCGUGCAGGAGGUCAGGCACUGUCUCCACCAUUGUGUACCCAUGCAGGAGGUCGGGCACUGUCUCCACCACUGUGCCUUGGUGCAGGAGGUCAGGCACCGUCUCCACCAUUGUGUACCUGUGCAGGAGGUCGGACACCAUCUCCACCACUGUGCCUCGGUGCAGGAGGUCAGGCGCUGUCUCCACCAGUGUGCCUCGGUGCAGGAGGUCAGGCACCGUCUCUACCGUUGUGUACCCGUGUGGGAGGUCAGGCACCAUCUCCACCAUACUGCAUUGGUGCAGGAGGUCGGGCGACAUCUCUGCUGGCCCUGAGCUCUGCCUGGGACAAGGGUUGCUCCUGUCCUGCCCAGAGCCUCGCCGCCCCAAGAAGGGGAGCGGAGACGCCCAGGCCAGCUUGAGAAACGCCGCCCCAAGAAGGGGAGCGGAGACGCCCAGGCCAGCUUGAGAAAUGCCCGCGGGCGCCUGCGAUGCCCUUUGNNNNNNNNNNNNNNNNNNNNNNNNNNNNNN
rnacentral:lncRNA from 1 species